GAUGAACGCUGGCGGCGUGCCUAAUACAUGCAAGUCGAGCGAACGGACGAGAAGAUUGCUUCUCUGAUGUUAGCGGCGGACGGGUGAGUAACACGUGGAUAACCUACCUAUAAGACUGGGAUAACUUCGGGAAACCGGAGCUAAUACCGGAUGAUAUUUUGAACCGCAUGGUUCAAAAGUGAAAGACGGUCUUGCUGUCACUUAUAGAUGGAUCCGCGCUGCAUUAGCUAGUUGGUAAGGUAACGGCUUACCAAGGCAACGAUGCAUAGCCGACCUGAGAGGGUGAUCGGCCACACUGGAACUGAGACACGGUCCAGACUCCUACGGGAGGCAGCAGUAGGGAAUCUUCCGCAAUGGGCGAAAGCCUGACGGAGCAACGCCGCGUGAGUGAUGAAGGUCUUCGGAUCGUAAAACUCUGUUAUUAGGGAAGAACAUAUGUGUAAGUAACUGUGCACAUCUUGACGGUACCUAAUCAGAAAGCCACGGCUAACUACGU
rnacentral:rRNA from 1 species